rnacentral:rRNA from 1 species
GUGAGAAUCCCGUCCACCGAAUGCCUAAGGUUUCCUGAGGAAGGCUCGUCCGCUCAGGGUUAGUCAGGACCUAAGCCGAGGCCGACAGGCGUAGGCGAUGGACAACAGGUUGAUAUUCCUGUACCACCUCUUUAUCGUUUGAGCAAUGGAGGGACGCAGAAGGAUAGAAGAAGCGUGCGAUUGGUUGUGCACGUCCAAGCAGUUAGGCUGAUAAGUAGGCAAAUCCGCUUAUCGUGAAGGCUGAGCUGUGAUGGGGAAGCUCCUUAUGGAGCGAAGU